CUUGCUACUGUUGCUGACAGAGCGGGCAGGACGGGUGAGUAAUGCUUGGGAACAUGCCUUGAGGUGGGGGACAACAGUUGGAAACGACUGCUAAUACCGCAUAAUGUCUACGGACCAAAGGGGGCUUCGGCUCUCGCCUUUAGAUUGGCCCAAGUGGGAUUAGCUAGUUGGUGAGGUAAUGGCUCACCAAGGCGACGAUCCCUAGCUGGUUUGAGAGGAUGAUCAGCCACACUGGGACUGAGACACGGCCCAGACUCCUACGGGAGGCAGCAGUGGGGAAUAUUGCACAAUGGGCGCAAGCCUGAUGCAGCCAUGCCGCGUGUGUGAAGAAGGCCUUCGGGUUGUAAAGCACUUUCAGUCAGGAGGAAAGGUUAGUAGUUAAUACCUGCUAGCUGUGACGUUACUGACAGAAGAAGCACCGGCUAACUCCGUGCCAGCAGCCGCGGUAAUACGGAGGGUGCGAGCGUUAAUCGGAAUUACUGGGCGUAAAGCGUACGCAGGCGGUUUGUUAAGCGAGAUGUGAAAGCCCCGGGCUCAACCUGGGAACUGCAUUUCGAACUGGCAAACUAGAGUGUGAUAGAGGGUGGUAGAAUUUCAGGUGUAGCGGUGAAAUGCGUAGAGAUCUGAAGGAAUACCGAUGGCGAAGGCAGCCACCUGGGUCAACACUGACGCUCAUGUACGAAAGCGUGGGGAGCAAACGGGAUUAGAUACCCCGGUAGUCCACGCCGUAAACGAUGUCUACUAGAAGCUCGGAACCUCGGUUCUGUUUUUCAAAGCUAACGCAUUAAGUAGACCGCCUGGGGAGUACGGCCGCAAGGUUAAAACUCAAAUGAAUUGACGGGGGCCCGCACAAGCGGUGGAGCAUGUGGUUUAAUUCGAUGCAACGCGAAGAACCUUACCUACA
rnacentral:rRNA from 1 species